rnacentral:pre_miRNA from 1 species
UAUGGCUUUUUAUUCCUAUGUGACUUUAUUUAUGCUUCAUAUAGGGAUGAAAGCCAUGAA